rnacentral:rRNA from 1 species
GUGAAACCGGUAAGAUGGAAACGGAUAGAGCCAGCGUAUCUGGCUUGUAUUCAGCUGUCGGGUCGGUGCCUGUGGGGUGUCCGCUUCCAGACUGGGGCGGUGCUCUACCGGGUGCUGGCACCGGUGGUGCAUUUGCAGGCGAUGUGCGCCGAGGCGCUCGGAGCAGCUGCAUGAGCUCUGUCCUGAGGCCAGCUCGUAAGAGUCUGGUACCCGGGUGGGGGGAGUGCUGUUUGCGCUGGGUGUGCCCGAUUGGCAUGGCUUACGGGCUCGGGUGGGUGCCGAGCUGGCAACCGGUUACGGUCGCAUGCGACACGUGCCAGUGGCUAGUUCGGUCCUGUUCGAGCUCUCAUGUCCGCCCUCGGUGUAAAAGCUGGUCAUCUAUCCGACCCGUCUUGAAACACGGACCAAGGAGUUCAUCGUGUACGCGAGUCAUUGGGCGUUGAAAACCCAAAGGCGUAAUGAAAGUGAAGGUGCCCGCAAGGGGCUGACGUGCGAUCCUGUGUGCCUCGGUGCGCAGGCGCAGCAUGGCCCCAUCCUGACCGCUUGCGGUAGGGUGGAGGUAGAGCGUACGCGGUAAGACCCGAAAGAUGGUGAACUAUUCCUGAGCAGGAUGAAGCCAGAGGAAACUCUGGUGGAAGUCCGAAGCGAUUCUGACGUGCAAAUCG